UACGUAGGGUGCGAGCGUUGUCCGGAAUUAUUGGGCGUAAAGAGCUCGUAGGCGGUGUGUCGCGUCGGUCGUGAAAACUUGGGGGCUUAACCCUGAGCUUGCGGUCGAUACGGGCAUCACUGGAGUUCGCAGGGGGAGACUGGAAUUCCUGGUGUAGCGGUGAAAUGCGCAGAUAAUCAGGAGGAACACCGAUGGCGAAGGCAAUCCCCUGGGCCUG
rnacentral:rRNA from 1 species